GUUUAAAAAAUGUGUGGCGUGACCUGGUCAACCAACCAAGAUGGCCGCCACCGCUAAAAAUAGAACAUAGGGGUAAAAUGCAGUUUUUGGCUUAUAACUCAAAAACCCAAAGCAUUUUGAGGAAAUCUGACAUGGGAUGAAAAUGUUUAUCAGGUCAAGAUCUAUCUGCCCUGAAAUUUUCAGAUGAAUCGGUCAAUCGGUUGUUGGGUUGCUGCCCCUGAAUUGGUAAUUUUGAGGAAAUUUUGCUGUUUUUGGUUAUUAUCUUGAAUAUUAUUAUAGAUAGAGAUAAACUGUAAACAGCAAUAAUGUUCAGCAAAGUAAGAUCUACAAAUAAGUCAACAUGACCAAAAUGGUCAGUUGACCCCUUUAGGAGUUAUUGCCCUUUAUAGUCAAUCUUUAACCAUUUUUCAUAAAUCUAAGUAAUCUUUUACAAAAUCUCCACUGAAACUACUAGGCCACAAUCAUCUUUGUGGUAUCUAGUUUGAAAAAUGUGUCCGAUGACCUGGCCAUUCAACCAAGAUGGCCGCCACGGCUAAAAAUAGAACAUAGGGGUAAAACGCAGUUUUUGGCUUAUAACUAUGAAACCAAAGCAUCUAGA
rnacentral:lncRNA from 1 species